ACCUGGUUCAUUUAUCAUCAAAUCUGCAUCCUGAAUAGGUCAAAGGCUGCUCUCUCUAACUCCAGUGCAGAAGUUUUGUUCAUGUCCCUCCUUCUUUCACAGUGUAUUUUAAAACUGAGUAAUGUCAUGGUAGCUGUACCUCAAACAGCUUCUGACCACCACAUCUCCCACAGGCAUUCUCUAUUUGUGAGCAGCAGGAGACAGAGCUUUCCUUGGGAGUGGCAAGAGAAGGAAACCUCCCCCAAGUGCAGCCUGGAAGGUUCAGCCUGGAGGGAAAAACUUCCUAAUGAACUGCACCAGACCAGAGGGAAAUCAAGGAAGAGCCAUGGAACAUCCCAAUGCCUACAGACUCUGUGAGUACAACUCUCUGAGUAUUUCUGU
rnacentral:lncRNA from 12 species